AUUGGGGACUCAGUGGUUGCAGUUUUAGCUAGCUGCCACCUGUAUCCUGCUGGAUUUACUCCCUAUUGUGACUUUCAUCCCUGUGAGUGCCUAGGAUUAUCUGCUCAGCAUUUCAUCUGCUUCACAGACCUCCUACUCUGCAUUCCUGUGCCUCUGUCUCCUACUACCAAGCUAAGACUCACUAUAUUCUGUGGCUGGGUCAGUCAGGUCAGUGCUGC